AGUGAACGCUGGCGGCAGGCCUAACACAUGCAAGUCGAGCGGCAGCGGGUCCUUCGGGAUGCCGGCGAGCGGCGGACGGGUGAGGAAUACAUCGGAAUCUGCCCUGUCGUGGGGGAUAACCUAGGGAAACUUAGGCUAAUACCGCAUACGACCUACGGGUGAAAGCGGGGGAUCGCAAGACCUCGCGCGACAGGAUGAGCCGAUGUCCGAUUAGCUAGUUGGCGGGGUAAAGGCCCACCAAGGCGACGAUCGGUAGCUGGUCUGAGAGGAUGAUCAGCCACACUGGGACUGAGACACGGCCCAGACUCCUACGGGAGGCAGCAGUGGGGAAUAUUGGACAAUGGGCGCAAGCCUGAUCCAGCCAUGCCGCGUGGGUGAAGAAGGCCUUCGGGUUGUAAAGCCCUUUUGUCCGGGAAGAAAUCGUCUGGGCUAAUACCCCGGGCGGAUGACGGUACCGGAAGAAUAAGCACCGGCUAACUUCGUGC
rnacentral:rRNA from 1 species